rnacentral:tRNA from 1 species
GGAGAGAUGUCCGAGUCUGGCUGAAGGAGCACGAUUGGAAAUCGUGUGUGCCCCAUAAGGGUACCUGGGGUUCGAAUCCCCAUCUCUCCGCCA